rnacentral:rRNA from 1 species
CAAUAGCGUAUAUUAAAGUUGUUGCGGUUAAAAAGCUCGUAGUUGGAGUUCUGCCAGGUGCCGUCUGUCCGCCCCAGUGGUGAGUACGUGACGCGCAUUUGGCCCUUUCAAGGGGAGCGUAUCUGCACUUUACUGUGUGGUGCGGGAUCCUUGACUUUUACUUUGAGGAAAUAGGAGUGUUCCAAGCAGGCUCUCGUCGUGCACAGCUCAGCAUGGAAUAAUAGCAUUGGACCUCGAUUCUAAGCUGUUGGUUGCCAGAAGCGAGGUAAUGAUGAAGAGGGAUAGUUGGGGGCAUUCGUAUUUAACUGUCAGAGGUGAAAUUCUUGGAUUUAUGAAAGACGAACUACUGCGAAAGCAUUUGCCAAGGAUGUUUUCAUUAA